AAUCAAUCCACAGACACAGAGUCCUCUGACCGAAGGAUAAACUGGAUCCAUUUGUGAACGGCUGCACCACAGCUACAAGUAUAUAUGGAAUGUUUUCUUGAAUCAGUCAUGCCAUCAGGGCCUCCUUGGCAAAACAUGAUCCCCCUGGAGUUAUGCCACACAGCGUGUCUGCCAUCACACCAGGGAUGCUGAGGCUGCACUGUACCUGAGGAAGGCUGCAUUGCUAGAGAAGCAGAGAAGCUGGCUUUGGCUACUGAAGGCUGAUUCACGUGUGUCAGACAGAAAUGUCAUGGAGAAGAACAUGACAGAAAAAAGAAUUAAUGUUUGCACAUAGGCAAUAAAAUAUGAGGCAUGUUUG